rnacentral:rRNA from 1 species
UACGUAGGGGGCAAGCGUUGUCCGGAAUUAUUGGGCGUAAAGAGCGUGUAGGCGGCCCGGUAAGUCCGCUGUAAAAGUCAAAGGCUCAACCUUUGAAUGUCAGUGGAUACUGCCGGGCUAGAGUCCGGAAGAGGCGAGUGGAACUCCUGGUGUAGCGGUGGAAUGCGCAGAUAUCAGGAAGAACACCAACGGCGAAGGCAGCUCGCUAGGACGGUACUGACGCUGAGACGCGAAAGCGUGGGGGAGCGAACAGG